CUGGACUUAUUUUUCGUUUAUAUGGGCCGAUGAUGCUGGUCGAUGUGGAAAAAAAUAACUGAGUUGUUUGGUGGUGGAGCUACAACAGAGGGCAGCUAUCCACCGGUGUGUGACAGAAAGGACAUGCCGCGAACGAGACAUACAAGGCGGUGAGGCUACCGCCGAUCGACCGGUGUUUGCUAACGCGGAGGUCAAUCAUGGAUCAGGGAAAGCGAAGGCAGGAGCGUGAGGUGAACUGAAUUUCAGCAGGCACACCUGAAGGUCAAGGUGCAGGCCACAGUGGCAAUCUACCAUAACAAAGAGAAGUAGGAGGGAUAUGAAGAGCAGAAAACAAAUUGGUAUUGUAAUUAAGAAGUUCUUUACACGGAAUCUAUUCUCAACACCACCAAACAGUGUGAGGAGAUCAGUGUGAAGCUCCAGUGUGAAGCCCGAGGUCCUGAUAACAUCCCUGGAUGGCCACUGAGAGACUGUGUGGCAGAAAGCAGAGAUGUCUUCACAGACAUUUUUAAUACAUCACUGAGCCAGGCUGUCAUUCCCACAUGCCUCAAAGCCUCCACCAUCAUUCCUGCACC
ensembl:lncRNA